UCUUGAUGGUUUCCUCCAGUGUACAAAAGCUUUUUAUUUUGGUGUAGUCCCAGUAGUUUUUGGCUUUUGUUUCCCUUACCUGGGGAAACAUAUCUAGAAAAAUGUUGCCGAUGGCAAAGAAAUUACUGCUUAUGUUUUCUUCUAGGGGUUUUAUGGUUUCAGGUCCUAUCUUUAGAUCUUUAAUAAAUUUUGAGUUUUAUUUUUAUGUAUGGUGUAAAAAAAAUGGUCAUGUUUGAUUCUUUUGCAUGUAGCUGUCCAGUUUUCCCAGCACCAUUAAUAAGAGAUUAUCUUUUCCCCAUGUAUGUUCUUGCCUCCUUUGUCAUAGAUUAAUUGACCAUAAAAGGGUGAAUUUAUUUCUGGGUUUUCUAUUCUCUAUUGAUCUAUGUCUAUUUUUGUGCUGCUACCACAUUGUUUUGAUUACUACAGCUUUGUAGGUAUAUCUUGAAAUCUGGGUUUGUGAUACCUUCAGCUUUAUUCUUGUCAAGAUUGCCUCGGCUAUUCAAGGCCUUUUGUGGUUCCAUACAGUAAAUUUUAGAGUUGUUUAUUCUAGUUCUAUGAAAAAUGCUGUUGGUAAUUUCAUAGGGAUUGCAUUAAAUCUGUAGGUUGCUUUGUUUAGUAUAGACAUUUUAACAAUAUUAUUUCUCCCAAUCCAUGAGCAUGGAAAUAAUUUAUUCUUAAUUGAAAGGUUGAUUUAAAUAAAUAGUUCUUUCUCUUUCUCUUUCUUUUUCUUUUGAUAGCAGUUCUACUCUUCAUAGUCUUUUAAGGAAGAGGGAUUUUGGCAAUGCUUUAAUUCAAAGAGGACUCUUUUGAUUUCAAUAUCUGGAUCUUGUGUCCUCAAGUUCCUGUUGUAUUUCUGUUCAAUUAUUCAUUCAAGAACUUUGUUCUCCCAUUACUCUGCUUUAUAAUUACUGCACUUUUUCAGAGAUGAGCUUCUGGACACACUUGAACCCACUGGUACUUGGUAGAGUCAGAACAAUCACAUUUGGAAAACUUUAUUAAUCUAUACUUUUAAAUGUAAUAUUCUAGCAUAGUUUAGGAAUUCAGUUGAAUUAUAUGCAUUACAUUGGUUUAAACCAAUAUUAUUUGGAUUAUUAUGUAAUUUUUAAAUAACUUUGUUAUUCCAGUCUCCCUGAAAAAAAUCCUUAUUAAUCCCCUUUCUUCCCCCUCUCCCUCAUAUUAUUGUUUCUGAUAAUCCCUACAUCAAGUUUUCAGUUAUUCAGUAGGUUUACUACCCAACAGAGGGAUGCUGGGCACCUUGACAUUGUGACUGUUUUAAAGUUAAUUUCUGCAAAUUUUCCUCAUAAGAUCCUUAAUUUAAGAAAUUGUAUAUGAUAAUAAAAAAUUGUAUAUGAUGCAUUCAUAAUUAUCUCUAAUACAUUAGAAAUCAAUUAUUUUUUUUUAAUUUUUAAAAAAUCUUUACUUACUUUUGAGAGGGAGACAGAGUAUGAGCAGGGGAGGAGCAGAGAGAGAGGGAGACACAGGAUCAGAAGCAGGCUCCAGGCUCUGAGCCAUCAGCCCAGAGCCCGACGCGGGGCUCGAACUUACCAAUCGUGAGAUCAUGACCUGAGCUGAAGUCAGAUGCUCAACCGACUGAGCCACCCAGGCACCCCAAUUUUUUUAUUUUAGAGAGAGUGAGCAGGGGAGAGGGGUGUGGGGAGAGAGAAAGAGAGAGAAUGAAUGAAUGAAUGAAUGAAUCUUAAACAGGCUCCAUGCUCAGCACAGAUCUCAACACGGGGCUUGGUCCCACAACCUAGGGAUCAUGACCUGAGCCAAAAUCAAGAGUCAGACACUCAACCUACUGAGCCACCCAGGUGCCCCUAGAAACCAAUUUAUAAGAUAAAAUAAAUUGUUAAAUUAUAUCCAGUUAAGUAUUCAAUACACUAAAUUAUUCACAGUAACAAUACGUUAGUUUUGAGAAGUGCCUGCAUAUAGUAGUGGAAAAUUCCCCUUUUAAUUGUCAUUGAGGAAAAAAAGUGAAAAAUAUUAAAAUGAACCACUUUGAUUUGUUGUAUAAAAAUUGCUAACAUCAUAUUAUAUAGUUUUGAUUCAUUUUUGAUGCUACAACACAUUGCUAAAAUUUUAAUCAAAAUAUUAAUAUAAAUUCUCUAUGUUAGGAUCAAACAAAAAGAAUUUAUCAAUAAAUUUGCUUUUACUAUAUAUUUAAAGUGGGCAUUGCUUUUAUUUUUUAUUUUUUAUUUUUUAAAAGUAAGCAUUGCCUUUAAAAUUAGAAAAAUAACAAUCUAUUUCUCUCUCUCUCUCUCUCUCUCUCUCUCUCUCUCUUCCAUCUCUAACUGUUAAUAUAGAAAAAGUUUGGCUUAUUCUACACCUCUGAGAAGACUCAUGAACUGUCACUUACUUAAUUAAAUAAAUUCUGACAAUUUUAACCCUGGAACAUACUCUAUAGAGUUUUGAAUGCAAAAUGCAUCUCAAUGAAACAUUGUCACCUAAAAUUUGUAGUAUCUUUUCAGUGAAUUUUGUUUUGGGGCCCAUACUUGAUCUUGUGUGUUUUUCCUGGUCAUCCUGUUUUAGUAUGUAUGGCAUGUCUUUCUCCGUCUGCAGUCAGCAGUCUCUAAUGUUGAUAUUUCAGUUUUAGGGAUGAUUGCCCAUUUCUCUGAAGUGCCCAUCAGGGUACUUCUGAUGAAUUCUGUGUAUGCUGCAUAGCUUCUAUGCAUUUCAAGUAAGCCAAUCCAAAAUAUACUCUCCAAAUUUGGUCAAUCUAUUCAGAUAUGUCUUUUGUGUGUUUUAGCAAUCAAUUUGAUUUCUGUUAUAUGUAAGAUAAUGGCUUUAUUAGGAAAUAUUAUAUAAUUAUACAAAAUCUUAAUAUGUGGAUCUAAUUGUUUUUAAGUCUUUGACUCAUGUAAUUCAAAAGUAACAAAAUGAUUAAAAGUGUAUGCAUGUCUUUAUGAUUAGAUGUUAUACACAAGAGUUUGAGUGUCAAAAGUUUAGACCACAUUUCUGUAAAGGAAUUUAAAAGUCAAUAGUUUAUUUGGCCACAAACAAUCUCCCAGUUCCGACAUUACCACAUCCCUAAGACUGUGUGUGUGUGUGUGUGUGUGUGUGUGUGUGUGUGUGUGUUGUGUGUAAAAGUGGAGGCUGGAGUAGCCGGGGAGAGAAAUUACCAAGAAAAAGUGAAAUAAAAAGCUGUAAUUCUUAAGCUUUUUUUCAUCUUAACAUUAUUUUAAAUUUCUAAAAUAAUAUUUACUUCACAAGAAAUGUGGCAAUGAAAACAUAUGCUUAGGGAAUUGAGAAAAUUCAUUCAUAAAUGAACUCAUUGUGUGACUUGGCUUUUGGUUUUGAUUUAAGCUGGUCAGAUUCAUUCCUCCUCGUUCGUUGCCUUCUGCCCUGCUAAAGUAUAGUUGUCAAAAGGUUAAAUAUUUAUGACUCGCAGGCAAAUAUGUUGUGAAUACACGUCAAAGAUUUUAUUUAACUCAAUGAGGGAAGAAAUAAGAUGAUGAACUGGUCUAAAGAGCAUUUGAGAAUCUAUACACACACAGACAUAUACAUAAAGGAAUAUUAAGAUAAGAUUUCUCAGUUCGAUAAAAAAUUGUUACCUUCAACCAGACAAAAUUUAUUUAUAUUUCUAUGUGACAAAAAUCUACAAGAUACCUUUGACAUUAUAGAGUUAUAAAAUAGGCCAGUCAACGGAAACUCAAACCCAGUACUGCACUGAAAGAACACCCAGGGAUUUCUUUUGUCUAAAUUCUGAAUUUUUUUUUGAUAUCCGUACCCUAAUACUCUUAAUUUUGGUGUGUCCAUAGUCCUCUAUCUACACUCACUCCCUUGGUGAUCUCAUCAGUCUUGUGGCUACAAAUAACAUCAAUGUUCUGAUGAUUCCCAUAUUUAUGCUUAUAACUCCAGACUCAUUAUCCAAUUGCCUAUGGUACAGUGGUCUUAAGUAUCUAAUGGAUAAGUUUAAAAUUAAUAUCUAAAACCCAUGACCUGGUUUUCCUAUCUGUAAAAGGCCCACUUUGACUACAACCCCCCAUCUCCAAAUAAUGCCUACUCUAUUCUUUCAGAUGCGUAGAAGUUAUCAGUACUUUAUUUUCUCAUACUCCAUAGGCCAUCUUCAUUUUGCCUUAAUUACCUCUUUUGAUCCCCUUCAGUCACAUUUUAAGGUUGGGGGCUAAAAAUCAACACAUGAAUUCGGAGAGGGGGAGCACAGUUUAUGUCAUAACACUCUCACUUCUAUAGAAACACUAAUCUAUCUUCAAAAUAUAUCAGAAUCUAAUUACUUUUCACCACCUCCCAUGCUAUCACAUUUUAUAUUAUUAGGUAUGUCCCUGAAGAGGGCUGAGCUCCAGAGAGACAACCUUCCCAAAUAAAGCAGGACUUUGAUUUGUCCAAGGAUAAAUUAGUAGUUCUCCAAACAUGAAAAUACAAACCAGGAAAGCUCUCCAGAGAGUCCAUUCUGCUGAAAAGUUCAGUAAGUGGUGGUAUUAAGAAGAACACUAUUUCUUUGAUUUAUAAUUACUAUGUAGCUAUUCCUAAUAUCCCCAAGCACAUAUAAAAACAACUUCCUCUCUUUAAGUAUGUUGUGAAUAUUCUUUCAUUUUUUUAGUCUCAAUUUUUUGUGUUCAUUUAUGUAAGGGAUAAUGGUCACUGUUCAAAAUAAUGGAUUUCUCUGAAGUACAUGUCACUCUAAAGGAAUCUGAAAUAUGUUGAUGUUCUAUGUAUGUAUGUAUUUGUGUAUUUAUGCAGAAAGGCUCUGCGUUAUUUUGCUGGGACUUCCAUGGCAACGUACCACAGACUAGGUGGCUUACACAGUGGAGAUUUAUUUUCUCACAAUGCUGGAGACUAGAUUUCAAGAUGCUGGCAGGGUUGGUUUCUUCUAGAGGCCUCUCUCCUGGGCUGGUAGAUGGCUAUCUUCUCUCUGUGUCUUCACAAGGUCUUUUCCCUAUCUGUGUCUUACUCCUUCCUUAUAAGGACAUCUGUCAUGUUGGAUUAGGGCUCACCCACAUGACUUCAUUUUUCCUUAAUUACCUCUUUUAGAUCCCCUUCUGCAAGUACAGUCACAUUUUAAGGUAUUGGGGGCUAAAACUUCAACACAUGAAUUUGGAGGGGGGGGGGGGAGCACAGUUCAUGUCAUAACACUCUCAUUUUGACAAUGGGCACACAUUUCAUGUCACUUAGGUUUCUGGCACAAAUGCCCAAGAGUGAGCCUGAGUCACUAACCUGCAUAUCAAGAUUCCAAAUAAGAGAAUUUCAGGCACAGCCUGGAAGAUCCUUUCCCUUCAAGUGCCCCUUGGGUCUGAAGUAUGUACUAAUUUCAGUCAAGCAGAUGAGUACAGUACAACAGGUUUGUAUUUCUCUCUUGAUUCAACAGAUUAAAAGACAUUGAAAAAUGCUUUUGCAAUCCUGCAUUAGCAGGAAGUCAUAUCUUUUGCAAGUGGUAGUGAAAGACUAUGCUCUGUACUUGGGAAAACUACUGUAUUUUGUUUCCAUAAUAAUUGUAGAUACCAAUUAUAUUCCCUAAUAAUUCAAUAAAUAUUUCACAUAAAAUUGAGAUUUUUAAUUUGUCAAAGUAGUCUUUUCCUCUGUUGUUAAGCAGAAAAUCUAGAAGAAUUCUGUAGUUGGAGACAAUAGGCUAAAUCAAAGAAGGAGAAAAUAGUUAUGAUUUUUAAAACCACUAAUUGAAACUUUGCCAGUGUUCUAGUGCUUUGGGUCUGAAAUCUGCUCAGUUUCUUAUAUUACAUUGUCAGCUGUGCUCACCAUGGUAACUUCAAUAAAACUCCCUUCAUAAAUGUUUUUCUUCUGAAGUGCAAAGCACCUUCUUAAAGAAGGUUGACAACCUGGUAGGAGUGGGUGUUUGAAAAAUAAAUGAAAAGUAUUCUGUCUUCUUCGUGAUUGCUGUGGGUGGAAGGAGGUGAGGAAAUUAUUGAGGGGAUUAAGGUUGGGUGAAAGAAAUGUUUUGCUUUGGGAUAAAAAUCUGAUUAUUGAGGUAGAAAAUUAAAAUAUGCCAGAGAAACUUUUCCUGUUCAUAAAAUUUCCUUAUUUCUCAUCUUAGAAUUUGGACAAGUUUUGUCCAUACAAAUUCAUGAUCCACUUUUGAAUAUGGAUUUUGUCUGGGACAAAUUUAGCCAAUACCUCAUUCAGUGAAUUCUGCUUGGGUCCAGAUCAGCUUUCUUGGGAAUAUUUUGGAAAACUUAACUAAUGUGGGGCUUGAAGCACAUCAACUCUCUCUGGGUUUGUUCCAGUUCCUCCCCCAUAAAAUAGGGAGGCAGUAGAAACCCAAGUCCUUAGCCUUAGUCACACAUUAGAGUCAACUGGAGAUGUUUAGAAAAUGCCAAUGCCAGGGCCUUACUCAGAGACUAUUUAAGGUCUGGGGUGAUAUACAGAUAUAAGAAUCUUUUCUUUUUAUACGUACCCAAGGCAAUUUUAAUGUCUAGCAAGUGAUGAGAAUCACUGUACUUACUGAUUUCAAAGGGCCCUUCCAAUUCUAUCAUUCUAAGGCAUUCACCUACAAAUCGACCUCAACAGGACUUGACUCUGAUAGGAUUAUUAAUUCAGUACCUUUGCUUUCAAAUUUGUUAUAUUUCUUUCUGUUGAGGCUUCAGGAAAGAAAGGCAUUAACUUUUAGUUUAGGAACUUAGCAUCUUUAUUUCUGUUUAUUCACUUAUUUUCCAGGUAAGCACAAAUCUUGUCAGUGUUCAGUGGAGAAGGAACAUCCUCAUUUUUAAAACACAUUGGUUCUCAGAGAGUUUUAUGAUUUAAUGAUGCCUCAAAAGGCAUUAACUUGAUUUAAUAUAUAUAUAUAUAUAUUUUUAUGUGUGAGGAAAUGGCCAAGACAAAGUUAACAACAAUAGAUUGUUAGAGGACUCUACAACUCUAUGACAUAGUGGAUACUUUCUCUCUUUAGAACAGUGGUUCUCAUUCCUGAUGGAACUUUAGAGUUGCCUGGGAAGCCUUUUAAAAAUACUCAUGCCCAGGCUACAUCCUAGGCUAAAUCAAGCUUCCCCAGAAAUUCCAAAAUGGAGCCAUGAUUGAGAAUUGCUUGAUCUAGAAUGAAGUUGUAUAGGCAAAUGAUAUCAAGCAACUGGCUAAUGGUGAAAUGCUGAGUGUAUUAGCCAUCUCCUUGAUUAGAAACAGCACCUUCUUUCCCCUUGUGGAUAGCACUGUCAAAAAGGAUUAUUUUUCUUUUGUUCAAAUUACCAUGUGAAGGAAGUCUGUUCUUUUAUAUGUUCGGCGUUAUUAGACUACAACUAUUUCUACUGAAGAUGGCAAGUGAAACACUUCCUUCUUAAAUUGAUGAAUAAAAUCUAGGUCAGUCUUCUCAAAGACCCCUUUGAAGAUGGUUGAAAGAGUGGAUAAAAGAAGAACUAAACACAGACUUUUUUUAAGGAAAUUAAUUUGUUAAGUCAAAUUAUCACUCAAAAAGACUCAGCAAUGUACUUCUAUUAAGUUUCUGGUUUAUUGUUUCCUGGGAGGUAAAAAUGCAUUUCAGCAUUAUUCCUCUGUGAUUGUGUAUACUGUGAUAUUCACUGAAAAUUUAAGGAGCCCAUAGUCUCAGUAAUACAGUAUCAAAUGUGUGCUUAAUUGUCAUUCUGGAGCUUGGUUCUGGUGUCUCCCCAAAGCCUAUAAAUCAUUAUCAAACAAGAAAAUCAAGUAAUUAAGCUCUCUUGCCAGAAUCUGAUCUAUACUCUCUAAAUACAUGCUCAGCACAAAAAAAGUAUUCAUUCAUAUGGCUAGUUAAACUCUCUAAUAAUAAACCUACAUCAGGGAAAUGAUUUGCUAAUGCUUUCUCAAACAUAGGGAGUAAGGAGCUGAUUUCCUCCCAAACAUGCCAAAUCCAUUGUUGUUUUCAGUGGCCUGAACAGAAAGCCAAAGAUGAUGUACAUGGAAAAGGAUGAAAAAAGUUUUAAUAGGAGUUAAUAAAAACAAUCAAAAAGUUGCAUUCACAAAUUACAUCUCAGCUUUUCUUGAGAUGACUUCAAGGCAUGUUGCAAAUUCAAUAAUUUAUGGUCAGUUGCCUUUCAUCUUUAAAAUCACACAAAAACAAGCAAUUAUUUAGAAUGAAAUAAUUGGUUUAAUAUUCAUGGACUUAAGUUGAAUUUAAAGUCGGUCUGGGCUCUGAAUCAGUGCCAUCUGAGUACAGAAAUAAUUCAAUAUACAUGCACAAAUUAGUUUUAAUAACAUAUAGGUAAGAUAUAUUUCUUUUACUUGAUAUACUUAUUUUGAAGGGCCUUUCUUGGAGUUAAACCUAUUAGUUGGCUGGGCAUGAUACAGGUUGAACGCCCCAUAGUUCCAGGGCCUUGGCAAAAUUGACCUCCAGCGGCUUGCCUGUGCCUUUCGUGAGCCUCAGAGAUCGGAUGCAACCUCGGAACCUAAUGUUGGUUGUCAGGCCAAACUGAUUGAGGCCAUCUGAAAAAGAAAGCAAAAAAGACUCAGUUUUGAAAUGUGGCUUCCAUGUUAAAUGUAUUUUUAAAGUUUAAUUCCAGUGUAAUUAACACACUGUAUUACAUUAUUUUCAGGUGUAAAAUACAGUGAUUCAAGAAUUCCAUCUACAACUCAGUGCUCAUCAAGACAGGAUUGCGAAUAACAUAAAUUACUUUUUUGGGCAAGCUUCAUGUCACAGGUGCCAGAGACUUUCAGCCAGAAGGCCAGUUAAAUUCUUAACAAUGUAGAACUUAGAUUGGAAGUUCAUGUCUAAAUGAGAAAAACCUGUUUUCAGUAACAUGGAACAGUCCCUGAAAUUUGAGAUGACAGAAUUCUUUUGAAGCUGACGAAGAAAAGAAACAUAUUGAAACACUGAAAACAGUCAGUCUUGCAACACGUUUGACAAGGAACUGUAAGCAUGAUUUUGAAAGAGAAGAUUCUGGGACAUAACUAGGUUUUUCCAGUUUAUCCAAGGAGAAGUGAGGAGAAGAAAGGCACAACAUGAAACAGUUCAGCGGAAGACAGAGUGAAUUGGCCAGUAAAAACCACAGUGAUCAGGUGGCUGAAAAGGUUUUAAGGACAAAGAUGUCAAAGGUUUAAUUGAAGCUGUAUGUUUUACAAUGAUGAAACCUUCUCUAAUCAUCCAAGUCUUAUAAAGAUUGCAUUACACUGUCUGUUGAGGGGAUGGGAGGAGUUGUUGGAAAUUGGGGAAGUGGCUAAUUUUCUGGUCCAGUUUGAUCCAGAAUGAAAAAAAAGAGCCCAGGCAGAAUAGCAAGUCAAUAAAUUAACUGCAGACCCUGAAGCUUGCCAUCAAAUUUGACCAAGAGAAUGCUAGCCAUCUGUGAAUUUGAAGAAAUCUUGGGGAAGGCUUUGGGUUUUCUCUGCACAUGGAAUGUAAGGCUCAUCAUAACCACCAAUAUUUAAAUGUUUAACAAAACCUGUGUUUAUCUGUUUUCUGCCUCAGCUAUAGGUGAAGUUUCCAAAUUACGCUUUGUCUGAGGGCUCUGGCCUUCCAUCUCUGAAAACCUUUGUAUGUGAGCAUUUAUCUCACCUUUUAAAUCCUAGCUCAAAUGUCAAUUUUCCCAUAAAGCCUUUCCUGAUUUCCCCAACCAAAAUUAAUGUUUCUUCUACAUAUCCACAGAACCUUGCUUAUAUAUCUUCUGUAGUUUUAAAUCAUAUGUACUUGUGAUUUCUGAGCGCACUGAAUCUUACCUAUUAAUAGUAUAUUUUUUGAAAAAAGAAACAUUUACUUCUGUUCCCCAUGAUAACUUCUAUACAUUAUGUGCUCAUUAAUUUUUUUCUAACUCUAGGACUGAACAGUCCAUCUUAAAGUAUGUUAAGGUCUUUUUUGUUGUUAUAUAUUUUAUAUUUUUCUUUCCAAAUUGUACAUUUACUAUCAGUGAUCCAGACCUGUCCUGGAAGUGCUCAUUAGUAAGGGACAGAUGCCUAAAGUCAGGGAAAAGUGCCAAUCGUCAUCACCAUCGAUGAGAAAUGGGUACCAGUAUGUGUCUGUCAUGGGUAUGAGUGGGAGCUCAUGACAUGGAGUAUUAAAAGAAGUUGAAGAGAGGAAGAAAGAAAAAUGCUACCUCGUCUUCAGAAAGGUAGGGAAAACUGAAAAGUAGAUAAAUUACAUGUAUAAACAUAUGGCCCUUCUUGUAGAAUUACACUUAUUUUUUUCUAUUAAAUCUUCUCACAAUAAGACACAUUAAUCUUUAAGAGACUUUUUGUUAUUACUACUAUCCGUUUUUAUUUCUGGUUUAAGUGUGCUAAUUUAGGAAAUCCAGGACUUUUAUUUUUCCAUACAAGCCAGAAGUUAAUAUUUGGACCUAUUUAAUAUUCAACAGGAAGAAAAUGGAAGUGCCUCACCUGCUUUGGCAAAACCUGUUCCAUCAAAAUAUGUUCCUUUCUGAGCAUUAGCAAAACACGUUCCAACGUGGAAACUGGAGGUUGGUUGUUCAAGAUCUACAGGGGCCUCCGUCAUCUGAAAAUUCCUGAUGCAGCCAUCAAUGCUGUAGGUCACCUAAAUAUUCAGGUCAGACAAAAACAAAUAGCAGGUUUUAGCAGAAACUUUGCCUUUAUAUGGAAUUCAGUAAUUUGUGGGGAUGCUCUGUGCUUGUAAUCAUCACCCAGUUUCCUUAACAGCCCCAAACUACCUAAAUCUGUACCAUCAUCCCAGGCUUCACAAAAUGGGUCCACAGAAUCCUCUGUUGGGCUCCUCAACUAGGAUAUAUCUAGCCUAUAUCUAGAUUGUUCUGAUAUUCUAAAUAGGGUACAUUGUGAUUCUCAUGGGACCACUGGUUUGGCAGACCUAUGUGCCCCAUAUGAAUAUCAUAACUUUUCAUUAGUUCCUUAUGCUGGUUCUGGUCCAGGAUGGUGAUGUAGAAAGAACCUGAACUUACUGCCAUGGACACACCAAAUCUGUACCUAUUGAUAAAGCAAUUCCUCCUUUAGAAGAACUGAGGGCCGACUGAAUAGCUUCUGCACAGCAAAAUGGCAACCCCUGACUCAAUGAACUGCAAGGGGAAGGGAUAGUACUGAGGGACUGAGAGGAGAUUCAUCUGACCUGGGGCACAGAAAAAGAGCAACUAGUAUAUAAAAGGCUCAGCCCCAGAACCCUGCCAAAUGGUGAGGGAGCUGCUGGAACUCUCUGGGUCAGACAGGCUGGUGAGAGCAAUGGUUUAUGUACUUCCUCCACCUUGAUAGCAUGGACCAUGCCAGGGUCCCGGCACCCCAGCUGGCCUAUUGCCUGUGAGCCCCAGCCCCGUAGCUUAUACCAGCGCCAGCUGUCCCAGCAAGGCAACCCCAGAAUGGUGCACACUGGGACACUCCUGUUCAGUUCUCCCUACAACUCCAGCCAUGACACCAAGGUGACACAGGAACAAUGAAUGCUGGAACACUCCAGACCCAUACUACCUCAGCUCCAGAUGGCAUUCUGUGGCAACCCUGGCACAGAGCACUCCAGGACCUCCUGACUGAUGCCUGUUUUGGCUCCAGCAGCCCCAGCAGGGGGCUCCCUGCACUGAGUGCCCCAUGAACCUCCAGGCCAUACAUGCCUCAGUUUCAGUUAUUACCAGGGUACCCCUUGCAGGGAGCACCCCAGGAUGCCCCAGCCCACAUCCCACUUCAGCUCUAGCCACCCCAGAAGGGCAUCCUCUGCAGAAGAGUCCCCAAAUACCCCAGCUUAUACCCACUUCUGUCUUGCCAGGGUGCCCUCUGCAUGGACGGCAUUAGGAACCCCUGACUUGCACACACUUCAGUUUUAGCUGUCCUGACAAGGCACCCUCUAUGCAGAGAGCCCCAGGACCACCCCAGCACAUGCCCAGUUCAGUUCCAGCCAAUCUACCAGGCAAGCUCCAGCACAGAGUGCCCUGUGACCCCCAGCCAGGAAGUCACCAGGCACACAUAGCCUGCACAGGGGAUGACCAUACCACAAGACUGUUCCUUAAAGUUUAGGAGAAGUAGCUUUUCCACUUAAUUCAUAGAAACAAACAUAAAAUCAAGCAAAAUGGAGAGACAGAGAAAUAUAUCCCAAACAAAAGGCAAAACUUCAGAAAAAGAACUAAAUGAAACAGAGAUAAGCAAUAUGCCUAGUAAGGAGUUCAAAAUAAAUGAUUGUAAAGAUAUUCACUGGACUAGAGAGAAGAGUGGAAGAAUUCAGUGAAAACUUCAACAGAGAGAUAGAAAAUAUAAAAAGGAACUAAUCAAAUUUGAAGAAUAUAACUGAAAUGAAAAUGUAUGAGAGGGAACAGAUUACCAGAUGUAGAAAAACAGAUCAGUAAUCUGGAAGAUAAUAAUGGAAAGCACCCAAGCUGAACAGCAAAAAGAAAAAAAAAAUAAUUUUUUAAAAAGUGAGAAAGAGAGUGAGCAUGUGAGAAGGGGAGGGGCAGAGGGAGAGGAGGGAGAGAAUCCCAAAUAGCUACAGGUUGUGAGCACAGAGCCUGAUUGAUAUAGGGCUUGAUCUCAUAAACUGUGAGAUCAUGACCUGAGCUGAAAUCAAGAGUUGGACUUUUAACCAACUUAGACACCUAGGCACCUUAAGAAAAAAAGAAUU